UACGUAGGGGGCGAGCGUUGUCCGGAUUUACUGGGCGUAAAGCGCGUGUAGGCGGCCCGUUAAGUGGGGUGUGAAAGCCCGGGGCUCAACCCCGGGACGCCGCUUCAAACUGGCGGGCUUGAGGACGGAAGAGGGGAGUGGAAUUCCUGGUGUAGCGGUGAAAUGCGUAGAGAUCAGGAGGAACACCGGUGGCGAAGGCGGGUCUCUGGGCCGAUACUGACGCUGAGGAGCGAAAGCGUGGGGAGCGAACAGG
rnacentral:rRNA from 1 species